rnacentral:rRNA from 1 species
UACGUAGGGGGCAAGCGUUGUCCGGAUUUAUUGGGCGUAAAGAGCGUGUAGGCGGCCAUGUAGGUCCGUUGUGAAAACUCGAGGCUCAACCUCGAGACGCCGAUGGAAACCAUGUGGCUAGAGUCCGGAAGAGGAGAGUGGAAUUCCUGGUGUAGCGGUGAAAUGCGUAGAGAUCGGCAGGAACACCCAGGGGGAAACCAGCCGACUGGGCAAGUGCUGACGCUGAGGUGCGAGAGCGUGGGGAGCAAACAGG